rnacentral:rRNA from 1 species
UAGGGAAUCUUCCACAAUGGACGAAAGUCUGAUGGAGCGACGCCGCGUGAGUGAAGAAGGGUUUCGGCUCGUAAAACUCUGUUGUUAAAGAAGAACAUAUCUGAGAGUAACUGUUCAGGUAUUGACGGUAUUUAACCAGAAAGCCACGGCUAACUACGUGCCAC